rnacentral:lncRNA from 1 species
UUUUACCAACAGUUUUUUACUAUCACUAUAUGACAAAUUUCUUGUAGUGUUGUCACCUCGAAGGCCGGCACCUGCUGUGUCGUCGAUCAGUCUAUGCCCUCUCAGGGAUCAGAUGUUGCAGGGCCUUCCAGGAGGCAACGGACUUGGAAUGACGCGAUCAGUUCCCCAGUAUAGACGAGAGCAGCCCGACGGACGAUGCUAGACCUCCAGGCAGAUGCAAGGGUGGUGACUCCGUCGUACAUUGUCCUAUGUUCCAUAGGAGGAGAUGGCGGCGGAGGAAGAGGAGCCAGCAGCUGAAGAGGAUGAUUGUGUGGAGUUGAUCAACAUCAAGGACUCCAUUGAGGUUGUCAACCUCUCCUACGACUCAGAGAUGGAGGAGGACUCAAGCUAGUGUUUCAGCACACCUGUAGACACUAGGGCUAGCCGCUAGGAGCUAUUUUCAUUUCUAUUUUGCUUUUUGAUUAGGGUACCUGUGUAUAUAUUUAUUUUGUGAGUAGUUUUAUUUGGGCAACGAUUAGGAUUUUGCCUUGUAUUUCGUACCAACAUUUGCAGAUAUUCUAAUGAAGUAUUAUUCAAAGUUAUAUUGAGUUAUUUUUUGUUACCUAUAGUAAAUGGUUUUUUAUUUUAUGCAUUGUAUGCUACUUAAGGUGAUGUUCCGAAAAUGAAACGAAGAUAAGGAAAUAAAUUUUAUAUAGUUUCAUUAUUCAAAAAAAAAUACACAUUUUUAGCAACAUUUUUGGAGUAAUUUUCAGGGCAUUACAAAUAGCGUACAUUAUAUUGCUUUUUAAAAAUUAUUAUAAAUUAUUUUUAAAAUAUUUUAACAAGAUAAGGUAACACGACAAGGCACAAGACCUAUAGUGGAGUUACCUCACCUUGUUUUAGACAAUAUAAAGUAACGCCUCAAAGCAUUUAGCCUAUAGCAUGUUUUACAUUGCAUUUAAUAAAAAAAGAUUAACAAAUCAAGUUGGAGCCAAAUCUAUUCACAUGGAGAUAAGCAUGCACAAACUAUUCACUACCAUCUAUUUUCAAACGUAAGUGGUGCAUUAGUUUAUUCAUAAACAUGAACUAUUCAUUACCAUAGUCAUAUGUAAUAAAGGGAUAACAUAUUCUUUUAUCUCUCCCAGUAACACACGCAAAUUACAAAACGUUCAAAAAGUUUCUCGCAUUCAAAACAACCACGUUUUCUCAACAAAUUAUAGUUGUAUAAUUUGGAGAAAAAAUGUCCGCAAAUAGUUAUACAUAACAUGCUCUCUUGGACAACUUUAUUAUACUUAAUUUGCCAGUAAAAUUACUAAACUAAAUAUAAUAUUUUCUUGAUUUGAUAUUACUUGAAUGGAUUUUUUUAUGUGUGUCAUUAAGUUGUGCUUUAACUUGCUCCAAUUUUUUAUGUUCAUAGUAUUUCUCAUGUUAAUAGACUAGUGAACAAUAAUUAAUUUGAGUGAAUAGAUACCUUUUGAUAACAAAGGCCUGCUCCAAGUCCAAUAAUGCUGCCAAAUGAUGUUUGGUGUUAUCCAUAUUGAUUCUCCAAUCUUCAACAAAGAGUGAAGUCAUUGUUACUACCACUGUUUUAAAUUGCAGUUGUGGUCAUGAUUGUGGUAACAGUUCCGAUUAUUGUGAUUGCAGUCAUUGCGGUCGUAGCGAUACAGAAUGCGGUCGUUGCAAUGUGAAUUAUUUUGUGAUUAAAAAACUAUUUUUGAAUUUGAUGUGUCCUGAUAUAGUCCAAAUGCGUUCAGAUGUGGUUGCGUUGUGGACCAACGUGGUUACUUUGUCGCCAAUGCGGUUACGUUGCAGCCUGAUGCAGACGCAUCAUUAUGAUUCAGAAUCACACCACAAUUAUGAUGUGAUACGGUUACAACAGUCACCCCAACCGAUAUAUUAUGGCUACAAUUUAAAUCAUUGGUUACUAGUAAAGUUGCAUGGAUUGUAGACACAACACGAUUCAACCAAUCAAAAGGAGCACUUUG